rnacentral:lncRNA from 1 species
UCUAAUUUAAUCUUAUACGUAACAAAUAGAUAUCCUAUCAAGCAACUUAAAAAAUAUGAAAAAUCAAUUGAGACUUGUUCAGUUUUUUUUUUUUUUGGUUAAAUCAUGUUUGAUUUUAUUAAUAAAGGAUAGAUUUGGUAAGAGGUAAUCCUCUAGCACUACAGCCCAGAUCUCCAGAGUCAUUCUAUAGUAGAACGAUAAAUCCAAAACAUCAUAAAUCACACGAUUCAUUUACCACCACACAAUAAACUACCUGAUUUGUCCACACUACAUUUGCCAACGCAUCUGCCAUUCAAAUCGCCUCACGAUAAACGUUAACCAGCUUGACCUGAAACAACUGUCUACCGAGUACCUCAAUCGUUCAAAAAACAUCCCUAAACCUCCAUGGUCGAUUGCUCUCACUUUGACACCAGCUCAAAACAAUUUCGAGUCAGACUCAAUUAUCAAACCCACCUUAUGCUUCCUUACUGUCUUCAUAAAAACUUCUAAAGCCAUUUUCAUGGCCAAGAGCUCAGCAACAUUAGAAUUCUAUAGACCCACUAGACCGAAAAACAUGGCCAAGAAAAUGCCAUUUUUGUUUUAAAGUACUCCACUGCACCCACAGGACCUGGUUUCCCUCUUGCAACUCCAUCAACAUUAAAUCUGAAAAAGCCCAUUGUUGGUGGAAGCCACUGCAAGAAAACUCUCUUGUUUCUAUCAGACACCACUAACAUGUAUUCAUAAAAGGUUGACCACCAUACUACUUAAUUCAAUGGGUUUAUAACAUUAGGGGCACAUGAUUAAAUACAGACAUUUUCAACCCCCUUUGAGAUAGAACCCAAAACUGACAUAACCACUCCGUUGAUACCAGAAACUUGUCCAAUCUACUUUUAUUGCCAGCACCAAACCAAGUAAAACUUAUCCCAUGAGUGGGAUAUCAAGAAGUUCUCUGUCAUUAAUUAACGAUUUAAACUCAGAAGUCCCAAACCAUUGUUCACACAUCCCCUUUUUUCUGCGGGAUAUCUCACAGAGUUGAAGUCCCUUGCGACACACCAGUUACCAUUAACCUCAUUCAUGUUUUCCAUUGUAUCAUCUCAGAGUUCUUUUUUUGCCUCAAUAUCACAAGGAGCGCGUUCACAUUGAUUUGAAGCUUUCCUUGGCCGAAGACCCUUUGACAAACAUCAUCCUAAUUCUACAUGUAAUGUGGUGUUUUAUGAAUCGAUCACCAUGCCAGAUCAUUAACAAUCCAUCUUAAUUGCCAAAAGCCACCGAAAAUGCCCACCCAAAGCUCCAUCUGGCUAAAUUUUCUUAACAGAGAAUCCGUAAUUAUCUCUAUCUUUGUUUCUUGCAUGAGUAUCAUAUCCACCUUAUGUAAUCUUAUCAUCUUUUUCACAGCCAUUCAUUUUACCAUACUACCAAAGCCUCUAAUGUUCCAUGAUACAAUCCUAGGUAGAGAUGAAACACCAACAGACUUCACAAAAAAGAAAACCCAAAACUCACCUUAAAAUCUAGCAAAAGAGUCAUUGUUGUAGAUGCUGUCAAUGGCAAUUGCUUCUUGUCCUGACCUCAAUUUCCAUCCACGAAUUAAUCACCACUAUAUUUUCACAGUUUGCACUCAUACCUAGCACUUUUUUCAAUUUUCCUCGUUGCUUCUGCUUCUUCCAUACACAAAGCCCUCUUUCUGUUUAGAAAAUCGCCGUCUGAAAAAGAGGCGUUUGCUACAGCUUUGGCUUUUGAGUUCUGCUUUGAGGUCUUAAUUUUGUUGCUCUUCCUUCCCCUUUUUGAGGAAAGCUUCCUCAAACUCUAAUAGACUCGCAUCCCUUCCACCUUUUUUCGUGGGUGUUUUUUUCAUUCCUUACCCUGUCAGAUUCUUUCCCCAAUGGAUCACUAGUGGUUAACAAAUUUUCUAAGCACUCAUUCGGCCCAACAUUUUUAUUGUCCAAGC